UACGUGCCAGCAGCCGCGGUAAUACGUAUGUCACGAGCGUUAUCCGGAUUUAUUGGGCGUAAAGCGCGUCUAGGUGGUUAUAUAAGUCUGAUGUGAAAAUGCAGGGCUCAACUCUGUAUUGCGUUGGAAACUGUAUAACUAGAGUACUGGAGAGGUAAGCGGAACUACAAGUGUAGAGGUGAAAUUCGUAGAUAUUUGUAGGAAUGCCGAUGGGGAAGCCAGCUUACUGGACAGAUACUGACGCUGAAGCGCGAAAGCGUGGGUAGCAAACAGGAUUAGAUACCCUGGUAGUCCACGCUGUAAACGAUGAUUACUAGGUGUUGGGGGUCGAACCUCAGCGCCCAAGCAAACGCGAUAAGUAAUCCGCCUGGGGAGUACGUACGCAAGUAUGAAACUCAAAGGAAUUGACGGGGACCCGCACAAGCGGUGGAGCAUGUGGUUUAAUUCGACGCAACGCGAGGAACCUUACCAGCGUUUGACAUC
rnacentral:rRNA from 1 species